CACACACGGUCACACUCCCACACACCAGCACACUGGGUUAAAGGACCCGGAGCUGUGGUUUUGUUACGGUCAAAGCUGGACUGAGCUAAGAGGCGAAGUGAACCAUGCGUGAGUUUGACUGGGCUUCUUGGCCCUGGUAAUUGGGACUGAUGGACCUGAAAGUGAGGGAUGAACCAGGGAAUACAGGAUGUCUGCACUGGCAUCUGAUUAGAACGAUUCAAACCAGAACCUUGUGAGCGGUGAAGAAAGCAAGAGGUGAAUAAAAGAUGACGGCGAAAGAGCGUAGAGGUGAAGCCCGUGUCUGCACGCCACUCCUGGGAGGCUAAAAUGCCUUCUCAUCAGUAAACUGUGGUGAUUGAUGUGGUGACUGUAACUUCUGGCCCAGAAUGCUUUGGACACCUGUCUUCUCACGCAAGGACCUCCAGGACGCUCCCUUUCAGUGCAGAUCCUGAUUUAUGAGACCCCAAAGGCUCCUCUUUGGUGUUUUGUCUCUCUCUCUCUCUCUAUUUUCCUCUUUUCCUUGCUCUCUUUCUCUUUGACACACUCUAUACCUCCAUCGUGAAGGGCCACAAGAGAAGCGGAGAGAAAUGACUGCUGUCAUUUUUUUUCUCUUUUAACUGGGCUGGCGCUGCUCUCUCUGUCACCGAGCCCUCGAGGGGAGAGGACAUCAAACAAAGGAAAAAGCUUCCGCACUUUAUUGUCUUUUACCGCAGAGUGCUUAGAUCUAUUCCCACUCUCACUCUCUCCCUCUCUCACCUCUACUUGAAUAAAAAAAUGUUUCAAAUUCCGACUUGUCGUCUCCCCUCUCCGGCCUCCUCAACAUCUCUUACACAUUUUCUACAUUUUGACAGUGCUCUUGGAGGGUGACAACUUGUCAAAAUACUGAGUGAGGGGAACUGAGGGAGUCUCAGUGUGAGAUAGCAGUGAGGCUCAAAGACAAAACAAAUCUCAAGUCCAAACACGGUGGUAUGUGGUUGAACUCUGGGAUGAUUGAUUUGUAUUGUGAUUAUUUGACAAAGAUGACUCACAAAUGUUAUCGGAAUGUUCGUCUUUCAGUGCGGAGUUACAGGGUUCGAAACCGGCUCUAGCCUUCCUGUGUUGCAUGUUCUCCCCGUGCAUGGGUUUUCUCUGGGUACUCUGGUUUCCUCCCACAUAUUAAAAACAUGCGUGGCAGGUUAAUGGAACAUGCUAAAUUGUCUCUUUGUGUGACUGUGGACGUGAAUGGUUGCUUGUCUAUGCGUGCCCUGCGAUUGGAUGGCAACAGGUUCAGGGUGUCCCCCGCCUACUGCCCGAAGAGAGCUGGGAUCGGCUCCAGCACGCCUGCGACUCUUGUGAAGGGAAGCGGAUCAGAAAAUGGAUGGAUGGAUCUUUGUGAAACAAAUGGGUUAUGUUAGCCUCGGUUCCCAUCACUAUCACGGCUAUGAUUAUCUCAGGAUGCAUCUGUAGUACCUCAUUGUAAUGUAACACAUCCAUCCAUCCA